UACGGAGGGGGCUAGCGUUGUUCGGAAUUACUGGGCGUAAAGCGCGCGUAGGCGGAUCGGAAAGUUGGGGGUGAAAUCCCGGGGCUCAACCCCGGAACUGCCUCCAAAACUAUCGGUCUAGAGUUCUGGAGAGGUGAGUGGAAUUCCGAGUGUAGAGGUGAAAUUCGUAGAUAUUCGGAGGAACACCAGUGGCGAAGGCGGCUCACUGGCCAGAUACUGACGCUGAGGUGCGAAAGUGUGGGGAGCAAACAGGAUUAGAUACCCUGGUAGUCCACACCGUAAACGAUGAAUGCCAGACGUCGGGCAGCAUGCUGUUCGGUGUCACACCUAACGGAUUAAGCAUUCCGCCUGGGGAGUACGGCCGCAAGGUUAAA
rnacentral:rRNA from 1 species